UCUGGCUAACAUUGAACUUGGUA
rnacentral:sRNA from 1 species